UGCCCAGCAACUCCUAUCCCUACCUCUUCGUGGUACCGGCCGGAAACUAUGAGCAACCUUAGGGAAGAUCGGGUAACCAACUUAGGAAGGG
rnacentral:ribozyme from 1 species